rnacentral:rRNA from 1 species
AUGGCUCGCUUUCAUCAUCAGAAUGAUGAUGAUGAUUUCAUGGAUCCACCACAGCAGAAUCGGGCAACUGGACGGAGAAAAGAGGGUGAUGAGAAGAAGAAACGUAUUCACAACAGAGCCUCCCAAGAACGACUGACUACAUUGACUGACAGAUUUACCGAUGAUCAGAAGGGAGGUGCUGCUGAGAUGGGUAUGCAGGCUCUGAUGAAUGUCCGGUGCACGAAUCUUGUCAACCCUGUAUGCGACUGGCUUGGUGAGAUUUACGACCCCGCCUCCAGGGAAUUUGUGAUUUCGGGACGUGGAAGACUACCAUUGAACGAGGAAUUCAUGUUCUGCACUUUGGGUGUGCCUCGUGGACAGAUUAAAGUCCCGUACGAGGCCAUGACAACCCAUGGAUAUGUUUUUAAGAUGAAGCUACUCAUGUACCUCAUCUCAGCUGUUUUCGCGCCGACCACUUCUCUUCGCCCAAGCAACAAAUGCUUCCCCAUCCUGGAAGAACUGAAAGAUGUCAAGAACAUGAAUUGGUGUAAGUUCAUAGCCGACUUCCUGCACGAUGCAUUCUCAAGCAAGAUGUACCAAAAGGGUUGUGGACUGCAUUUAAUGCUCAUGUACGUCAACUGUCUUGAUCUCCACCGUGGAUUUCACUGGGACAGGGGGCCCGCCGCCUACGCACAAGUUUGCUGUUUCUGCAUGGACUAUCAACGCUGUCAAGGGUGUGCUUGCUGCAGACAGGCUGAUGGCCAAGCAUGCUAUAGACUACAGCGUGUUUGGGGGGCCUCAAAACUUUGGAAAGUGGAUGGACGUGCACUCAGCUCCGUCUUGCCCUACUGA